CCGCUGGUAGCUUAAUUGGUUAAAGCCCGCGCCUUAUAAGCGCGAGACCCUAACAAGGCAUUGUGGAAGGUUCAAGUCCUCCCCAGCGGACCA
rnacentral:tRNA from 1 species